AUACGGAGGAUCCGAGCGUUAUCCGGAUUUAUUGGGUUUAAAGGGUGCGCAGGCGGGAGAUUAAGUCGGCGGGGAAAUUUUGCAGCCCAACUGUUAAAAUGCCUUCGAAACUGGGUUCCUUGGGUGUAAAAGAAGUAGGCGGAAUUUGGGGUGUAGCGGUUAAAUGCAUAGAUAUCACGAGGAACUCCGAUUGCGCAGGCAGCUUACUAAACUACUACUGACGCUCAGGCACGAAGGCGUGGGGAUCAAACAGGAUUAGAUACCCUGGUAGUCCACGCAGUAAACGAUGAUUACUAGCUGUUUGCGAUACAAUGUAAGCGGCUGAGCGAAAGCGUUAAGUAAUCCACCUGGGGAGUACGUUCGCAAGAAUGAAACUCAAAUGAAUUGACGGGG
rnacentral:rRNA from 1 species